AGCAAAAAAGUGUGGGCUGGGGAUGUGGCUCAAGCGGUAGCAUGCUUGCCUGGAGUGCGUGCGGCCCAUGUUCGAUCCUCAGCACCACAUAUAAACAAAGAUGUUGUGUCCGCCAAGAACUAAAAAAUAAAUAUUAAAAUUCUCUCUCUCUCUCAAAAAAAAAAAAAAGAGCAAAAAAGUGGCAGAAUUGUAAGAAAUACUUUUAGGUAAGUUAGUGAGUCACAGGUAAUCUAUCAUUGCAACAGAAACUACAGUAAUGCCUCUUGCUAACAAGUAAAUAAGUAAGGAAACAAAUAGCCCUUAACCAAACCAACAGGAGAGGGGGUGUUGGAUUAUGACACCCAAGCCCCACGCAAAGUCUGCACUCAACUGUGAUUGCUGAUCUGAGAGCAAUGGCAACCACAGAAAUGUUAUUUCCAUUAAAAAUGACUGAGGUAAAUGGGUGAAAAACACAGAAACGGACACGAGAACCAGCAACAAAAUAAAACACUCACUAAAUACAUACUUUAGAUUCCCCCAAAGAUCUGAGAUUACGAAUAAGGGUAGGAAUUUGUUAAAGAAAUCCUGGCCACAAUUUUCUAAAAGUGAUCAAAUACAUUAACCCACAGAUUUAAGACUUUCUACAGAAUCAACAAAAAAAUAAAAAAUAAAACAAAUCAUCAGAUACACCAGUAACUCCUUCAGAAAGGGAGAUCGUAUCUAACUGUACCAAUAGAAACACACACCUAGACAUAUAGUCAAUAGGAAAGACAGUAUUGAACUAGCAGCCAGAGGGGAACAGAAGACACUUGACCUUCAACAGAGAACAGGACAGUUGAAAACUGAGUGUCUUGCAGAGUAGUUGAAGCAGGAAGACAAGGGAUAAUAUCUUUAUCUUUAAAAAAAAUUAUCACUACCUCGACUUAUCUGCACAGCAGCUGUAUCCUUCAAAAUGGCACAAAUGUACCUUCAGACAAGAAAAUGCAUAGAAAUAAUUGCUAGCACAUGUCCAGUACAAGAAAUCCUGAAGGCCAUGGUCACAGAGAAGAAUGCCUAUGGCAGACGGAAGCCUGGGAGCCCAAGAAGCAUCACAAAAGGACAGAAAGGAGAUGACCCUGAAGUUCUCAUCAUGGGAGGAAAUACUGUUAACAAGCACAUCGUACCUGGCAUCCUGAGGAGAUGGAGCCUGGGAAUUCAGUGGACAUGUAACCCCAAGAGUCAGAUGCACAGUCCAAUCACAGAAGUGGAUCUCCAUGAGAUGUGCCUGCGACGGUGUGAACUGAGCACUGGUCAUGGCAGCAGACCUCGAGAAAGCCCUCCGUGGUCAGAUGCCAUGCAGGAGACAGGUGCGUGAGCAGCAGCUGGCUCUGAUGGCUGGGACUGUGGGUGGUUUGUCAGCGAGGCCUCCUGACUUGGCAAUGAUGACUCUGUGGGGUGGUCAGGCCCUGUUCUCCUGUGGGAAACCCUCCCAAGUUUCUGACUCUUUCCUCCUCAGGAAAGAGAGAUCAGAAGAUGCAUUUAAAUGCCACGUGGUACCCUCCAGAUGUGCACCUCUCCUGGGCAUAGCUGUUCUGUUUCCUUCCAUAAUAGACAGCCUUUCUGGAAAUUUCAUUAGACAUUUCUUUCCCCCUUACUCCCAAACAUCUAGCUAGCUCAGUGACUCAUCUAGCUAACUCAGUGACCUAGUGGUGGCUGCAGAUUUCCAUGCCAUAGAGACCUGUCUGGUGGAGCAGGAGAGGGGCCUGGGCACUCUGGAGUUGCGAGUACAUUGAGUGUCCCCAGAUCUCUUGCUUAUCAUGAUUGCCUGAGAACAUGGGCUGACUGUAAGUAGCAUCCUCUUGUGUCUCCUCCAUGUUGCUGGCCCUGGUGCUGGUGUAUUGUACGAGGGCAGCACGUGACUAGGAGGAGAAUCCAGGUCAGCAUUUGCCAGAACAAACCCUGUGGGAGGCUAUUUAGUGCAUCUUUCGAUGGUUCUUUCCAGCUUGAAACAAAACGACAACGACGACAACAAAAGACCUUGAUCAUUUCCAAAUGGCAUCUCAUUAAGAUGGAUGCAGAUGGACUCGGCUGUCCUCUGGUUCCAAGAGGUCAGCACAGUGGGUCAUCUAUGGGGCUGUCACUGAUGGACAGAACAGGAGCGGGUGCCCAUAAAUAUCUGGCAGCAGUAGUCAGUGCUUCUAUUUUAACUCCCCUCCUGGGCCGUAGAGGGAACUGCUGUGGCGUGAACACCGUCUUCUGGGUUCCUCCCAAACCCCCACACGGAGAGAGUGGGGUGCGGUGUAAAUAUUGUCAUCCUAUUUUUCCAGAUGGAGGCACCGGGCAGUCAUUAGGCUUCGUGACACCUCCAGAUCCUGGUGCUCUUUUGGAGUUCAGCUGAGGACCCUACACAGAUGCUGUCUCGUUGGCCCUGGCAGGCAGAGCUGCCCUCCCGUGUCUGCCACCCAAUGCUUUGGACCAUGGUGGAUGAUUUGAGGGUCCAUGCCCAGUCUUCCCUUUUUAAAGGCCUGCCUUUGUGGGCCCACCUUCCAUAAGGACAGAAAGCCUCUGUCCCCACGAGCUGUCCCACCUUAGUGACUCUGACUCCCUCUGCAUGCUCACAUUCCCCCUUGUCCAGGCUUCAGAGAGGAGUCUCACUUAACGCUUCCUCUCUCCCCGGCCAAUUCCUCAGCCUCCUCCAGGACAGAGCUAGAAUGCUGCUGUUCUGAGAAGGUGCCCUUGACUCCUGGUGGCUGCAGGUGUCCCUGUCAUGUGCUCUGCAGCCUCCCAGAGGCUUCUUCCCACAUCAGCCUCCUUACUUCUUGAGGCCGGGGUCAUGUGGUCUUAGAUCCCCACUGCAGGCUCUGUCAUGGCUCCUGGGCUGGCAUGACAUCCACUGCACAUGGAAUUAAAAGUUAGUCAGAGAGAGGGCACAGCAGGAGGAUGCAGGACCCUCACCAGGACAAGUGGGCUCAGAACCUGUGCUGGCAGGAACCCGGGGGACCUUGCUCAAGCACCAGGAGUUCCUGGCCUUCCCCUUCUGCCUAGUGAGAGGAAGCAUGAAGACAUUAUGUGGGGAUGGAAAAGCUUAGUUGGUGCAAAAUUGUAAUGCUUUGCAAUGAACACAUUUCUGCCCCAUCGACAAGCUGGUCUGGUGGCUAACAGCAUGGAUUCCAGAGUUGUCCUGGCUUGGCCUCUGCUGUAGUGUGACCUCUGUAAAAUGACUUAGCUUCUCUGUGCUUUGGCCCCACACCUGUGAAACAGGUGUGAUUAUCAGGGCACUCACUUCUCACUCUCCUCAUAACAUGUGGAAGCACCCGGAACAGUGCCCAGCACAGACGGGGCACAAUAGUGAUGUUGGCCACUAUUGCUUUGGUUAGUACUGCUAGUGUCACCUGCUAAGAGGACAGGCUGUGGAGGCUCCUGCACCAUCAUGGUCCUCCCACCUGACUGUGGCCAGUUUCACCUUGGGUUUGCUGCUCUGUGAACUGGCGUGCUGACACCUCAGUCUGAGGUCAUGUGCUUGUGUGACCUGAUGCCCUUUUCCCACCCCUUCCGGUGGACUGAGGUGGAAGCCAGGCAGGGAAAACAUGCCCAGCAGCCUCUCUCCAGGGCCCCCAAGGUGUGAGUGGCCACUCCUUGAAGUUCAGGGCUCUGACCUGGAGAAGCAGGUGGAUGCCAGACAACAGACUCUGGGCAGCAUCAGCAGGAGGCCGGAGAGGCCAGCCGUGCCAGGAAGCCUGCUCCGGCUCCCAGGCACCUCACGUUUUCCUGUUAUGCUGUGACUUAUAACCCUGUGCACAAAAGGCCCCUGAGGUGCUCCUGCCCUUCUCCAGCAGGGCCAAGGACAUCGUUAUGGAUUUCAUUAUUGCUACCUCCAGCUCUAAGUGUCUGGGAUCCCAUUAUAGCAACUCUGCCACAGUCCUGUUGAUAGGACUUCUAGGAAUAUAAAAUGCUGAGUCCACCUUCCUCAGACCCCGAUGUCCACUCCAUUACGCUCCCAACGUCCUCCGGGUGCGUGUGGUCUUGGUUACUAGUGAAUCUUCCUGAUUUUGCAUCCUCCCGAGUUCUCGCUGACUCAGCAGUUCACUUCCAACUUUCACCUUCCUAUUUCCACCCACUGACCUUCAUGUGGUCUUCUCUUCCUCCCUCAUCGACCACCCCACCCAUCAGUGCUUCCCACCUCACUGGACGUCAGGCAUAUUACAGUCCAAACAGGAAGCCUCAGGAAGACCCAGAAAGAUUCAGCUCACUGAAGUUCAAGAAAAGGUGUCUUGCACCUCAUUAGCAUCAAUAUCUAGCUCCAUGCGUUGCUCAUUAGAUGUCUGGCUUCGGGCAUGUCACAGGAGCCUUCCUGGGCUCCUUCUCCUCCUGUGUGAAAUGGGAAUGAUCAGCACCUGACAUGGCCUGAGGGUGCAUCUACUACCUGGUGGAUCAGGGCUCACCUGACUUGGGUGGCGAGCCCUGCUGUCACUGGCCAGCCACUCCCGCUGAGUUUGGCCAGAGCUGUGAAGUUUCCCCACUUAGCCACACACUGUGGGGUAGAGACGCAGAGAUUUCUUCUGGUUUAUGGUGAGCUUGGAGAAACAGAAUCAAUCGACUCUGGCUCUUUGCCAGUCCUGGGGUGGUCCAGAUGGUGGGCUGCCGGCCAUAGAAAGGCUUUGGAGUGGCCGAUAAGAGAAGCCUCUCACACUGUCCUGCUGCAAGCCGGGUGCCAGCGCCUGCGCCUCCCUCUCAUGGCCGGGUGUCUAUUCACACGCUGUGCACUGGCUUACCACCUCAAGGGUUACAUGCCUCUUUUGAGCAGCGUAGAGCAUUAACUCAAGACUCUUUUGGUUUUAGUGUUAAGAGCCUCCCAUGCAGAAAUAAUCAAGUUUUGCUUCAGUGUUCUAUGGGCAAUCCUUAUGGGUUCCAAUUUAGAUAUCAUGAUAGCUGAGACUCUUACAAAGUAACAUUUUGUAACAUAAAUUUACUCAGUUUGGUAGGAACUUAGAAAUUUUGACAACAUUGCAUUUUAAAUUUAUUAGAGUGUCACACCUAGUAAACUCCAACACCAUGCAGUUGAUUAUUUUAAAAAGUUAUUCAUUUAUUCAUUCAAAAUAUGCGUUUUACGUCUUGUGUACUAUUUAACAUGUGGUUCAGAUCAGCUCUGUGCUCAUCUGAAGACUUCAAAGUGAACCAGGAAUGGGCGCUUCCCCCAAUAUCUGAAUGUCUGGGGCAGGAGUGAGAAAAACAAUCGCAGACGCAUACUCCUAGCACCGCAGAAGUCUGUGUGGGUUUGUGGAAUCCCAGAGGAAGAAAUGCGAUGAGUAUAAUUGCUCUAGAUGGUAUUUACUACUGACAGCUGAAGAGGGGCAAGAGAAUUAGACUCACUAAUGAGACAAUAGUAGUGUGAAAAAUAUUAUUUACUUGAAAUUCCGUCAAACAUAUACAUGUGAUGUGAAGGCUCUGUGUGGUUUGGACAUGGUCGGCCCCCUCUAAAACUCACUCUGAAAUUUGAUCUCCAUCAUGGUGGUGUGGGGUGGGGCCUCCAUGGUGAUUAGGUCACGGGAGGAUCCAUGACUUUCCCAUGGAAGUGGGGAGACUCAGACAGUGGUGGGUGAGUUACGGCCAGGGCAGGUUCUGUGAGGUGGGUCCGGCUCCCUCUUCCCUUUGCACACCUCCCGUGGCCCUAUCAUCUUUCUGCCCUGAGCUGCAGCAUCACAAGGCCCUCAACAGAUGUCAGCAACUGGCUCUUGGACUUCUGGGCCUCCAGGACCAUCAGCCAAGAUAGACCUUUCUUCUUUAUGAAUUACUGGGUCCAAGGUAUUAUGUUGUAUGAUGCAUUUUGGAUCAGCAAUGCUCCCAAAGCACUGGCCACGGCCCUCGGUGCUACUGAGAGUGGUAGAAACUCUAAGGGGAGGGGACUCAUGGUCAUCGAGGGGCCAGUGGGACCCCAGCCCCUUCCUCUUCCUUCCUCCUGCUUGAUGGCCGUGAGGUAAGCAGGCUUUGCUUCACCACCCACUAGGGGUGCAGGAGCAGCAGAAUGGAUGACCAUGGACCGAAGCUCCCAGACUCUGAGGCCAGAACACGGCCUUUGUCUUUAUAAGGAGAUUGUCUCAGGCAUUUGUGACGGUGACAGAAAACGGACUAAGAGGAGGUAGCAUAUAGAGAAGGGGCUGUGGCUGAACAAAUACCUGGACAGGUGGAGGCAGGGUUGGAACUGGGCACCGGGAGGCAGGGGUGGGUUUGAAGUGAUCGCUGGGAAAAGCCAGUAUCAGUGA